rnacentral:rRNA from 1 species
UGGGGUAUAUUGCACAAUGGGGGAAACCCUGAUGCAGCGACGCCGCGUGAGCGAAGAAGGUUUUCGAAUCGUAAAGCUCUGUCCUAUGAGAAGAUAAUGACGGUAUCAUAGGAGGAAGCCCCGGCUAAAUACGUGCCAGCAGCCGCGGUAAUACGUAUGGGGCGAGCGUUGUCCGGAAUUAUUGGGCGUAAAGGGUACGUAGGCGGUCUAUUAAGUCAGGUGUGAAAGCGUGAGGCUUAACCUCAUUAAGCACUUGAAACUGAUAGACUUGAGUGAAGGAGAGGAAAGUGGAAUUCCUAGUGUAGCGGUGAAAUGCUUAGAUAUUAGGAGGAAUACCGGUGGCGAAGGCGACUUUCUGGACUUUUACUGACGCUCAGGUACGAAAGCGUGGGGAGCAAACAGG